rnacentral:rRNA from 1 species
GGAUGUGAUCAUACCAGCACUAAAGCACCGGAUCCCAUCAGAACUCCGAAGUUAAGCGUGCUUGGGCGAGAGUAGUACUAGGAUGGGCGACCUCCUGGGAAGUCCUCGUGUUGCAUUCC